GGUGUUUGUUGAUGGAAUUGUGUGAUAGAACAACCUGUUGCAUGUUUCAUUCACUAUGUUUAUUUGUUUAUUUAGCAGAUGCCUUUAUCCAAGGCGACUUACAGAGACUAGGGUGUGUGAACUAUGCAUCAGCUGCAGAGUCACUUACAAUUACGUCUCGCCUGAAAGACGGAGCACAAGGAGGUUAAGUGAUUUGCUCAGGGUCACACAAUGAGUUAGUGGUUGAGGUGGGAUUUGAACCGGGGACCUCCUGGUUACAAGCCCUUUUCUUAAACCACUGGACCACACAGCCUCCUAUUUAGUGUCACAAACUAAUAUCACCUACUGUGCAGAGUAAUUUUAAAUGCAGCUUCAGUCUAUUAAUGGAUGAGUGUGUAGGAACAAUUGAUAAAUUUAUUUGAAAUAUUUAAGUUCAGAGAGAUUAAUGAUUUACUAUGCACACUCACACAAAUAAAGUUCCAUUAAUAGCAGCAAUUUAUUCAACACAGAAAUAUUAAGUCAGAAAUAAUUAAGUGUGUUAUGCAUCAAAGAGAAUUACUACCAUCAAACUUUCAACAUAACUUAUUUCAAUAAACCUGUCUACAAAUAGCAAGUUUACUUUAAAAGCUCUUCAUGUGCAUACAUGAGGUAAUCUAACUUAUUUACUUAUCAAGGUUCAUUAAGUUACUUUUCACAAAAUAUAACUCUUACUAAUUAUUCAAUUGGCUUUCAAUGUAACUAUUUAAUUAGAUUUCAUGUGAAUAAUGUAACGUCAUUUAUACUCAACAGUCCUAGGCAACACUGUUUUUAAUAGCCACCUGGUUGUAGAACUUGAUCCAUUGAAUUGUACCAAAUUUCACCAAAUGCAUAUUUUUUAAUGUAUUCAUUUUAGUAAUUUAUCAUCCUAUACAGUAGUGCCAGAGUAAGGCGGAUAUUAUAAAAAGAAAGGGGUUUGGCAAUUGCCUCAAGUAUUUUUUUUAAAUUGGGGUGGGUUAUAUUCUUGGUCGAUCUGGCGCUUCAUUGGUGCACUCUGUGUUCAUGCUGUAGUAGGCGUGGUAUGGGAUCCAGUCCAUGUGGUUAGAAAGUCAGUCGCAAGUGUUUUUUCUGAUGUUUGUUAUAUUUUUAAUAAAAUAGCAUCUCUAAACAAAGGAACGAGGCAAAGCCACGUUUGGAAGUAUUUUGAGGAACUGGACGAGUAAACCAUGGUAUGUAAAUUAUGCCAAACAAAAUUGCCAUACCACAAAAACACAAGUUCAGUGCUUCACCAUUUGAAAUGAAAACAUUUCAGAAAUUACUGUGGAUGGAGCUACUGAUGGCAGUAAAAAGCAAACAUCCAUAUGUGGCAAAGUGGUAAUUAGUAGCAGGUGUAUAGCAGGUGCGGUGCGGAUGUAGUAAUCCCAAGAACAAACAGACAACAAAGUACGAGUGAAAUGGUUGGUUUAAUGAUUGUUAAUCCAAUGGUCUGUUGACCAGCCAGCAAAUAAUAAUGAGCUGGCAAUACACAACAAUGUGUAUUGCACAGAAAUGAAAAGGGUUGCAGUCCCCUAAACAAUAAGCACAGUACUAAACACACACACAAUUAGACACACUCACGAUCACAGGUCCAAAGUGAGUGCUUUCAGUGCUUGUGGUGAAGUACAAUAUAAUAUGUGCUAUAGUGGUGAAACAAGUGUUGAUGAUAAUGUUAAUCGUAACUGUAGUGCAGUGCUGAUCCGGUUUUGUACUGGCCCUUGGAUUCGUACUGGAUUCGUGUUUAGCCAUCUAGUGCUAUAUAACAAAAAAACAGACAGUUACUAAACAGACAAACAGACAAAACAAACAGAACACUCACAAACUAUUUUCUUUUUACUUUGGGAAAUCUCCCGGUCCUUCCAGUUCCUUGUAUCUCUUAAACCCAAGCGAAGGAAAAGAUUUACAAUUCUCCUCCGCCUUUAUGCGAUCAUGCAUGACCCCUUGGUAAACGAUAGCAGCUGACUCUAUUGCCUGCAGCUGCUACCUCGUUUACCUUCCGGGUCAAUACGUUCCUGCAACGGAGUCUCGCCUUUUUCCAGGCUGACCAACUUCCCAACCCAGGAAAUGAACUGUCAGGCCAACCCAUCCAAAGCCUUUCCCUUUCGCUACUUAACGCCCUCACAGGUUGGGAGGGAGAUUUACAACCAGAACGCAUGAUAUUUCUGUCCCACCAUAAUAAACGGAAUGCUCAAGAUCAGGGGUCCCCAGGACCGAGUUUGAGAAGCCCUGCUCUAGAUGGCAACUGACAUUUAUUUCGCCCUUGCAUCCCUGUGAAAUAUGUAUAAUAUGAUUUUAAAAGGAUUUUUAUUUUCAAUAUUAAUUCAGAGAACGCAUAAGUGCAAAUUAAAUUACAGUGCAACUCUGUUUGUCCGUGUGCUUGGGCAGACAUAGGUCCACGGAUGUGUGUAAUCAGCAGAUAAAUGAGGUGUCAUUGCAUGUGACUAGCAUACAGAAACUAGUAAUGUAAACCAAAUUAGUUUACUGGAGAUAAUAUAUUACAAAGACAGAAGAAUAUUUUAAAAUGAGUUUACUUUGACAGUGUUACUCCUAGCAAAAUCAAAAUCCGAUACACCUCCAAAUCUGUUUCCCUAGCAUCUUGUUACCAAAAAAAAAAUAAUAAUAAAUAAAUACUACAAAGCUACAAGAUCUUAAGACAGUUUGACAGGAAUAAGCUAUUCAGCUCAUCGGAGCUCACAAUUUUCCUAUAAAUUUAUUUUUUGUUUUCUCCCCAAUUUAGUAAUGUCCAAUUUUUUUUAGGCUCCGGUCACCGCUACCACCCCUGCGCUGACUCGGGAGGGGCGAAGACGAACACACACUGUCCUCUGAAGCGUGUGCCGUCAGCCGACCGCUUUUUUACACACUGCAAACUCACCAUGAAGCCGCCCAGAGCUACGGCGUUGGAGGACAACGCAGUCCUGGGCAGCUUGCAGGCAAGCCCGCAGGCGCCCGGCCAGACCACAGGUGUCGCUGGUGCGUGGUGAGCCGAGGACACCCUGGCCGACCUAACCCUCCCCCUGGGAGCUCCCAUCCUCGGUCAGCAAAGGAAUAGCCUGGUCCUGAACUCGCGACGUCCGGACUAUAGUGCCUCCUGCACUCCACGCGGAGCGCCUUUACUGAAUGUGCCACUCGGGAGCCCCUUUUCCAUGCAUUAAUAUUAAGUCUGUGCCUCGAUACGAUACCAUCCGCAGUAUCAUGGUAUUCGAUACUAACACAAUACUUUGGAUCUUAUGUCAAUUACAUAUUAAAUGGUGCCAAAUUCCUUUUUUUGCAAGUACAAAGUGCAUAAGAGGCUAAUACACAGUUAAUAAAGCUACAGCAUGGUGGAAUGCUUGCUGUUUAAUAUAUAUAUAAUUUAAAUAAGUGCUGGGACAAAUAUUUGAGUGAAUAUUUUUUGGCUUGUAUUCGGAUACAAAAAUCAGAUGACAAAAAUACCUUGCACUUAUUUAUCACUUCACCAGAAGUUGCGCGACAGUUUCAAAAAUGGCAAAUGAAAGAGUGGUGUGUGGUAUGUGAAAUUUAAUAUAUAUAAAAAAUACAGCAGCUCUUGAGCCUAUAUUUAAAAGUUUAAGACAGCAAAAACUAAACAAACCAGAUUAUGCACGUGCGCACAUAUAGUGAUCUCUAUGGAAGGCUAUCUGGGUCCAAACACAUUGUGCUGCUUUAGAGCGACUCUCAUGGGACAGAAAAGGCAAGCACGUCAUUCAGAAAUGUCUCACUUAAACCGUGCCCAAUUUGCUGGAAAUUGUGUAGUGAUUUUUAUAUAGAUUUUUUUGUUAUAUAUUUUUUGUUGCGACUUAUGUGGAAUGUAAUAAACGAGAACCAAAACAGUGCUUUUUUUUCCCCCCUUCAUUUUACAUCGCCAUUACCACAUUUGUUUUAUGUAAAGUGUUUAAAGUUAAAUUUCAGUUUUCGUUUGCUUGUUCAGCUACAAAAAGGCACAAGUAAACAUGUCUAUGGCCACUGUUUCCUACGAAAUAUAUAUAACUUUUUGCCACAUGGCUACAGAAUCUCUACAGAGUGUUUUUUUGCAUACGUCAAACAGAAUUCAAGGUGGGCUUUCUUGAGUAAUAGCUUCCUUCUUGCCACCCUACCAUACAGGCCAGAUUUGUGGUGUGCUUGGGAUAUUGUUGUCACAUGCACACUUUGACCAUUAUUGGUCAUAAAAGCCUGCAGCGCUUGCAAAGUUGCCAUUGGCCUCUUUGGUAGCCUCUCUGAUCAGUCUCCUUCUUGCUCGGUCAUCCAAUUUGGAGGGAUGGCCUGAUCUGGGCAGGGUCUUGGUGGUGCCAUACACCUUCCACUUCUUAAUAAUCAUCUUGACCGUGCUCCAAGGGAUAUUCAAGACCUUUUUGAUAUAUAUAUAUUUUUUUUAUACCGAUCCCCUGGUCUGAAUUUCAACAACUUUGUCCUGGAGGUCUUUUGAAAGCGCCUUGGUGCUCAUGGUUGAGUCUUUGCUUUGAAAUGCACUACCCAGCAGAGGGAACCUACAGGAACUGCUGAAUUUAUCCUGAAAUCAUGUGAAUCACUACAAUUUAACACUGGUGGAGGCCACUUAACUUGGUGUGUGAUUUUUGAAGGCGAUUGGUUACAUCUGAGCUAGUUUUAGGAUUGUUAUUACAAGGGGGGUGGACACUUAUCCAACCAAGCUAUUUCAGUUUUUAUUUUUAAUUAAUUUUAUACAAAUUUCUAGAAUAUUUUUUUCACUUGGAAGUUGUGGGAUAGGAUGUGUACAUAAAUGAAAAAAAAAAUAUUUGAAUGCAUCUUAAUUCCAGGCUAUAAGGCAACUAAAGGUGAAAAUUUUGAAAGGGAUUGUAGACUUUCUAUAGGCACUUUGUGUGUGUGUGUGUGUGUGUGUGUGUGUGUAUAUAUAUAUAUAUAUAUAUAUAUAUAUAUAUACACACACAUGCAUACUUUUUCACAGCACUGUAUUUGCCCCCAAUGAUUUUCUGCAUUUUUGCAUAUUUGACACUGAAUGUUAUCAGAUCUUCAACCAAAACCUAAUAUUAGAUAAAAAGGGACUGUGGCAGAGCAGGGCUCUGCCCUUAGAAUUACUGGCAGGGAUGGAGUUAAAUUCUCCUCCCUGCCCAGGUUGAUUGCUUCAGGUGGGAGCAAUCCACCAAUUAAUUAUUCAAUUAUUAUUCAGCCACCUGGCACAAAAGGAGGCCUCAGCCUCCCAGUUGGGGGGAGAGUUCUAGAAGGAGAAGAGAGUGUUUUUGUGUGUGCUGUGUUUUGUUAGUUUUUGUUUUUGAAACCAGUAAAGGUAACGCCCAGCCUGGAAGCCUUAUUUUGUAAGUUUUGUUUUUGUGUUGAUUGUGUUUUUUGAAACCUUUUUGUUUGGCCCUUGUGCCUAUUUAUUUGAUUACUUUUUGUUUAAUAAAGAUCGUUAUUUUGCCCUUUUCACUGUCUCUGAGCCUCGAACCUCUGUCAUCCUUGUCACAGGGACCCUGAGUGAACAAAUAACACAAAAUUUGAUACAUAUUUCAUUUAUUUAUUAAAGAAAGUUAUGCAACACCCAAUGCCCCUGUGUGAAAAAGUAAUCGCCCCCUUAAUAACUGGUUACGCCACCUUGAGCAGCAAUAACUGCAACCAAACGCUUCCUGUAGUUAUUGAUUAGUCUCUCACAGCGCUGUGGAGGAAUUUUGGCCCACUCCUCCAUGCAGAACUGCUUCAACUCUGUGACAUUUGUGGGUUUUUGAGCAUGAACUGCUUGUUUCAGGUCCUGCCACAACAUCUCAAUGGGGUUUAGGUCUGGACUUCGACUAGGCCAUUCCAAAACUUUACAUUUCUUGUUCUUCAACCAUUCUGAUGUAGACUUGCUUGUGUGUUUUUCGGAUCAUUGUCUUGCUGCAUGACCCAGCUGCGCUUCAGCUUCAGCUCACGGACGGACGGCCUGACAUUCUCCUGUAGAAUUCUCUGAUACAGAGCAGAAUUCAUGGUUCCUUCAAUGAUGGCAAGGCAUCCAGGUCCUGAUGCAGCAAAGCAUCCCCAAACCAUGACACUACCACCACCAUGUUUGACCGUUGGUAUGAGGUUCUUACUGUGGAAUGCAGUGUGUGGUUUUCGCCAGACAUAACAAGGCCCAUGUCGGCCAAAAAGUUCCACUUUUGACUUAUCUGUCCAUAGAACAUUGUUCCAGAACUCUUGAGGAUCAUCCAGGUGCUUUUUGGCAAACUUGAGACGAGCAUUCAUGUUCUUCUUAGUGAGCAAUGGUUUCCACCUUGCUACUCUGCCAUGAAUCCCAUUUUUGCCCAGUGUCUUUCUGAUGGUGGAGUCAUGAACACUGACCUUAGCCGAGGCGAGAGAGGCCUGCAGAUCCCUGGAUGUUGUUCUAGGGUUCUUUGUGACUUCCUGUACGAUUUUACGCCUUGCUGAGAUUUUGGCAGGACGGCCACUCCUGGGAAGAUUCACUGCUGUCCCAAACUUUCUCCAUUUGGACAAGAUGGCUCUGACUGUGGUUCGGUGGAGCCCCAGAGCUUUAGAAAUGGCUUUGUAACCCUUUCCAGACUGAUGGGCAUCAACAACUCUUUUCUGGAGGUCUUCAGGAAUUUCUUUUGUUUGUGGCAUGAUGUGCCUCUAGAACCUGUGUGCUGACAACUUCACUCUGAUGGUAAGGGCCAAAGUUAGUCAGAUUUAUAUUGGGCAGGGCUGGCCCAAAUCGGGCCUGUUAACCAAAGUACUCAACCAGCUGACCCUAAUUAUCCCUUUAAUUGGGUUGAGUUAACUGGGGGGGGGGCAAUAACUUUUUCAUACCUGAAGAUUACAUGUUUGAUUACCUUGCACACCAAACAAAUGAAAGAAGCACCAAACUUUGUCAUUUUUUCCUCUCAGACUCCCUCUAUACUACUACAACCCACAAAAAAAUCUGACCAAAUACAAUGUGAAAUGUGCAGAAAAUCAGACGGUUCAAAUACUUUUUCACGGCAGUGUGUGUGUGUAUCUAUCUCUAUCUAGCUAUCUAUCUAUCUAUCUCCAUCGCUCUAUCUCUAUCUAUCUUUUUCCAGUGCAUUCAAAGGUAAUUGCCACCGACUAUAAAAUUCAAAUCAAACUGG